rnacentral:rRNA from 1 species
GAGUUUGAUCCUGGCUCAGGACGAACGCUGGCGGCGCGCCUAACACAUGCAAGUCGAACGAGAGAGAGGGAGCUUGCUUCCUCAAUCGAGUGGCGAACGGGUGAGUAACGCGUGAGGAACCUGCCUCAAAGAGGGGGACAACAGUUGGAAACGACUGCUAAUACCGCAUAAGCCCACGGCUCGGCAUCGAGCAGAGGGAAAAGGAGUAAUCCGCUUUGAGAUGGCCUCGCGUCCGAUUAGCUAGUUGGUGAGGUAACGGCCCACCAAGGCAACGAUCGGUAGCCGGACUGAGAGGUUGAACGGCCACAUUGGGACUGAGACACGGCCCAGACUCCUACGGGAGGCAGCAGUGGGGAAUAUUGCACAAUGGGGGAAACCCUGAUGCAGCAACGCCGCGUGAGUGAAGAAGUAUUUCGGUAUGUAAAGCUCUAUCAGCAGGGAAGAAGAAAUGACGGUACCUGACUAAGAAGCACCGGCUAAAUACGUGCCAGCAGCCGCGGUAAUAC